GUUUGGUUUGCCAUCACUUUUUGUGACUUUUCUGACAUCUGCAAGUGUCGGAAGUGUGACCUGAAACAUUUAAGGACACUUCUGCCUGAACCAUGGGCAGAUGUUUAGACUCCAAGAUACAGAGGAGGAGGGUCUUGGAGGUUUCUUAGUAUAAGUUCCUCCCUGUGGUACUUGCAGUUCCUACAAGGGGCUGUCAGAGAAACAAGCCGGAGCAGAAGAGCAAGACAUGGUCCUGGUGCAUGAAAGGAGCCUAAGAAAGAAGAGUGAAAGCUGCACGUGUGUGAGUAUCUAGCAGAACAUCUAGAAAAUGCACACCAACCUCCAGCAGCAGAAAACAGUCUACCUCCAGAAAGCCAUAAAAGAGAAAAGAAUGUUGUACCAAACUAAGCAAAUGAAGCAUGAAAUGAAAAGCCGGUUGAGCUGGGAGGUAUAAAGAAUGGAAAGGAAGCAGCUACCACCCCUGGUAACCCCAUCAAUCCGGAGAAGCUUCGCAGAGUUACACUGUGCUCUGUCGGGAAGGAAAUGAAUUUUCCUCAUUGUACACAUUCCGAGAAAAAUGAGGCUAAGACUAUUUCAAAGGAUGUUCUACCUAAUUCGAAUGGGCUUUAAGUGCCAUCUUCACAAUAGCGCCAGAGUCUGGUGUCAGCAAACUGAACAAAUAGAGCUACAGGGAGCGAAUGGGGCUGGGUGCCUCUCCAAAACAUAUGCAGAUGAACUUGAGAUUUCAGAGGACGGUUAAUCCUACACAGCAGUCAAGUGCCUUCCCAGGGGGCUCCCUUCCAAACACUGGCUGCCACGUCAAACCAAAGGGGACGAGCAAUCAGACUCACCUCAAACGCCAGUUAAGAAAGCCGGCCUUACUUAAGCAAUCAAGGGCAAGUGAUCAGCCAACUCUGCUUUCUUUCCUUUCUCUUGGAUCAUUUAUAGACCUUGUGGCCGUGGCCACCACAUUGAGAAGCCCUUGGUCUCUACUUGGACUCACUAUAGCAGGU
rnacentral:lncRNA from 1 species